rnacentral:rRNA from 1 species
GCAGUGAGGAAUAUUGGACAAUGGGUUAGCGCCUGAUCCAGCCAUCCCGCGUGAAGGACGACGGCCCUAUGGGUUGUAAACUUCUUUUGUACAGGGAUAAACCUUUCCACGUGUGGGAAGCUGAAGGUACUGUACGAAUAAGCACCGGCUAACUCCGUGCCAGCAGCCGCGGUAAUACGGAGGGUGCAAGCGUUAUCCGGAUUUAUUGGGUUUAAAGGGUCCGUAGGCGGACUCGUAAGUCAGUGGUGAAAUCUCACAGCUCAACUGUGAAACUGCCAUUGAUACUGCGGGUCUUGAGUAAGGUAGAAGUGGCUGGAAUAAGUAGUGUAGCGGUGAAAUGCAUAGAUAUUACUUAGAACACCAAUUGCGAAGGCAGGUCACUAUGUCUUAACUGACGCUGAUGGACGAAAGCGUGGGGAGCGAACAGGAUUAGA